AAUAGAUACCCUGGUAGUCCACGCCGUAAACGAUGAGUGCUAAGUGUUAGGGGGUUUCCGCCCCUUAGUGCUGCAGCUAACGCAUUAAGCACUCCGCCUGGGGAGUACGGUCGCAAGACUGAAACUCAAAGGAAUUGACGGGGGCCCGCACAAGCGGUGGAGCAUGUGGUUUAAUUCGAAGCAACGCGAAGAACCUUACCAGGUCUUGACAUCCCAUUGACCACUAUGGAGACAUAGUUUUCCCUUCGGGGACAACGGUGACAGGUGGUGCAUGGUUGUCGUCAGCUCGUGUCGUGAGAUGUUGGGUUAAGUCCCGCAACGAGCGCAACCCUUGUUCUUAGUUGCCAUCAUUUAGUUGGGCACUCUAAGGAGACUGCCGGUGACAAACCGGAGGAAGGUGGGGAUGACGUCAAAUCAUCAUGCCCCUUAUGACCUGGGCUACACACGUGCUACAAUGGACGGUACAAACGGUUGCCAACCCGCGAGGGGGAGCUAAUCCGAUAAAACCGUUCUCAGUUCGGAUUGUAGGCUGCAACUCGCCUACAUGAACG
rnacentral:rRNA from 1 species